UUAAUCAACACAGUUCCUCAAAAGGGUGGUUGAUUAAAAACAUUGGUCCUAAUAACUUCCGUCCUUCCGAAGAAGUUCUAAACAAUGGAGGGAAAGCUGAAUGCCAACAAACUGCUAAUGAUAAGAUGCUGUGUGAUAAUCUCUACUUCUUAAUAAAUGGAUACAAGUCCAGAAACUUCAAUAAAACUCUUUUGGAAAAAGCAAUUCAAGAUCAUUAUGGAAGCACUUCCAGUCGUCAAAUAAUUCAUUUUGCACAACUCGCAAAAACUGGUAAGUAA